GUAGGUGAACCUGCGGAAGGAUCAUUAAAGAGAAAAGGGCUUCGGUCCUGACCUCCAACCCUUUGUUUACCUUACCACUGUUGCCUCGGCGGUUGGCCUAAUCCGCCUGGUGCUCUAAUGCUCACCCGCCGCUUGGCCCAAACUAAACUCUUUGUAAACCCAGUUAUCUGAGAGUAAAUUUAAUACUUCAAAACUUUCAACAACGGAUCUCUUGGUUCUG
rnacentral:misc_RNA from 1 species